rnacentral:rRNA from 1 species
CCUACGGGUGGCAGCAGUGGGGAAUAUUGCACAAUGGGCGCAAGCCUGAUGCAGCGACGCCGCGUGCGGGAUGGCUGCCUUCUGGUUGUAAACCUCUUUUGUUCAAGGGCUAGGCCCGGUCUUUUGCCGUUUUUUGUGUAUUGUUCGAAUAUGCACCGGCUAACUCCGUGCCAGCAGCCGCGGUAAUACGUAGGGUGCACGCGUUAUCCGGAUUUAUUGGGCGUAAAGGGCUCGUAGGCGGGUCGUCGCGUCCGGUGUGAAAGUCCUUCGCUUAACGGUGUAUUCGCGCCGGGUACGGGCGGGCUUGAGUGCGGUUGGGGAGACUGGAAUUCCCGGUGUAACGGUGGAAUGUGUAGAUAUCGGGAAGAACACCAAUGGCGAAGGCAGGUCUCUGGGCCGUGACUGACGCUGAGGAGCGAAAGCGUGGGGAGCGAACAGGAUUAGAUACCCCAGUAGUC